CAGCCCCGCAGCUGACGGUUCAGACUGUUGCGCCGUUGGAGACGAUGCCGGUAGUGGAGGAGCCGACAACGCCGGCGUACUACACGCCGGAGGCCGGC
rnacentral:tRNA from 1 species